rnacentral:rRNA from 1 species
UACAGAGGGGGCAAGCGUUGUUCGGAAUUACUGGGCGUAAAGGGCGCGUAGGCGGCCGCCUAAGUCAGACGUGAAAUCCCUCGGCUCAACCGGGGAACUGCGUCUGAUACUGGGUGGCUUGAAUCCGGGAGAGGGAUGCGGAAUUCCAGGUGUAGCGGUGAAAUGCGUAGAUAUCUGGAGGAACACCGGUGGCGAAGGCGGCAUCCUGGACCGGCAUUGACGCUGAGGCGCGAAAGCGUGGGGAGCGAACGGG